rnacentral:tRNA from 1 species
GGAUUGUGGCUCCGAGGUAGAGCACUUGCCUAGUAUGUGUGAGGUAGUGGGUUCGAUUCUCAGCACCA